AUUGAACGCUGGCGGCAUGCCUUACACAUGCAAGUCGAACGGUAACAGGUCUUCGGUUGCUGACGAGUGGCGGACGGGUGCGUAAUACAUCGGAACGUGCCCGAUCGUGGGGGGUAACGAGGCGAAAGCUUUGCUAAUACCUCAUACGAUCUACGGAUGAAAGCGGGGUAUCUUCGGACCUCGCGCGGACGGAGCGGCCGAUGGCAGAUUAGGUAGUUGGUGGGAUAAAAGCUUACCAAGCCGACGAUCUGUAGCUGGUCUGAGAGGAUGAUCAGCCACACUGGGACUGAGACACGGCCCAGACUCCUACGGGAGGCAGCAGUGGGGAAUUUUGGACAAUGGGCGAAAGCCUGAUCCAGCCAUGCCGCGUGCAGGAUGAAGGCCUUCGGGUUGUAAACUGCUUUUGUACGGAACGAAAAGCCUCUUUCUAAUAAAGAGGGGUCAUGACGGUACCGUAAGAAUAAGCACCGGCUAACUACGUG
rnacentral:rRNA from 1 species